UGGGGAAUAUUGCACAAUGGGGGAAACCCUGAUGCAGCGACGCCGCGUGAGCGAAGAAGUAUUUCGGUAUGUAAAGCUCUAUCAGCAGGGAAGAUAAUGACGGUACCUGACUAAGAAGCCCCGGCUAACUACGUGCCAGCAGCCGCGGUAAUACGUAGGGGGCAAGCGUUAUCCGGAUUUUACUGGGUGUAAAGGGAGCGUAGACGGCAUGGCAAGUCUGAAGUGAAAGCCCGGGGCUCAACCCCGGGACUGCUUUGGAAACUGUCAGGCUAGAGUGCCGGAGAGGUAAGCGGAAUUCCCAGUGUAGCGGUGAAAUGCGUAGAUAUUGGGAGGAACACCAGUGGCGAAGGCGGCUUACUGGACGGUAACUGACGUUGAGGCUCGAAAGCGUGGGGAGCAAACAGGAUUAGAUACC
rnacentral:rRNA from 1 species